GUAAAUGUGCACCUACGGCCCACGACUGGGCAUUUCUCUGGUCACAGGUCACAGGUCUCAGGUCUCUUAAUGACCCUGAGACCAGUGCCUUGAGACCUGGAAGGCAGCAGUUCCCAAGUGGCCCCAGACGGCAGCACCAGCAGCACCUUGUUAAAAUGCAAGCGCUCGGGCCCCACCCCAGACACCCUGAGUCAGAAACUCUGCGAGUGAGGCUGUCUUCGUCCAUCCAGGCUGCUGUAACAAAACAGUGCAGACCACGUGGCUCACCAACAGCAGAUGCAUACCGCUCACGGUCUCGGAGGCUGGAAGUCUGAGAUCAGGGCGCCAGCUCUGUGAGAAAUAUCCCGGAGGUGCUCCCAACCCAAGCUUGGAAGAUCAGGGAGGACUUCCUGGAGGAAGUGGCCUCUGUGCUCAGACUUGAAGGUGGAGCUACAACGAAUCAGGCGGCAGAUGGGGACACUGAAGCCCAGAGACACUAAAUAACUUGCCUAAAGCCACACAGCUAGCAAAUGCUGACGCCGGGAUUUGCAUCCAGGUCUGCAGAUUGCAAAGCCUGACAGGAGGUGACUGCUAACUGUUUACAGAGGGCAAAGCGGGUAGACUGGGGACUUCUUCUAAAACACAGUUGACCCUUGUGCUAUGGGCUGAAUUGUGCCCCCCGCCCCAUUGGUAUGUUGAAGUCCCAACCUUCAGGACCUCAGAAU
rnacentral:lncRNA from 1 species